rnacentral:rRNA from 1 species
AGGGCACCACCAGGAGUGGAGCCUGCGGCUUAAUUUGACUCAACACGGGAAAACUCACCCGGCCCGGACACUGGAAGGAUUGACAGAUUGAGAGCUCUUUCUUGAUUCAGUGGGUGGUGGUGCAUGGCCGUUCUUAGUUGGUGGAGUGAUUUGUCUGGUUAAUUCCGAUAACGAACGAGACUCUAGCCUACUAAAUAGAUCGUCGGCUUACAAACGCCGGCGAGACUUCUUAGAGGGACAGGCGGUAAUUCAACCGCACGAAACAGAGCAAUAACAGGUCUGUGAUGCCCUUAGAUGUCCGGGGCCGCACGCGCGCUACACUGAAGUGAUCAGCGUGCUUUUUCAACCUACUCUGUCAAGAGUGGGGAACCCAAUGAACCUUCUUCGUGAUUGGGAUAGGGGAUUGUAAUUGUUCCCCUUGAACGAGGAAUUCCCAGUAAGCGCGAGUCAUAAGCUCGCGUUGAUUACGUCCCUGCCCUUUGUACACACCGCCCGUCGCUACUACCGAUUGAAUGUUUU